rnacentral:lncRNA from 1 species
AAUUGAUUAUUGUUUUAGGCGCCGAUCGUCAUGACGCCUUGGCGUAUUGUGCUAGGGAGUUGUAGGGCGAACUCCAGGUGAGUGGGCAGUUUUGUUUUCCGUAUACAUAUAUACUUACCGUUUUCCCAGAAAUUGAAAAUGCAUGAAAUUAUGCUUUAAAUGCAAUGUAUAAAAUUAUAUGAAAAGUAUAUUGAGAUGUGAAUUGAGAUGCCAUGCAUAAAAUUAUAUGCAAAGUAUAUAGAAAUGUGAAUCGAAUUGCCAUGCAUGAAAUGAUAUGAAAAGUAUGAAUUGAUAUAUGAUGCAUAUGUAUGAAUUGGUGCGGCGGACGCACAGGUGAGUAUCAGGUGAGUAUUUAAAUACUGUUAUGAUGAUGUUGAUAUAUUGAGCUCAAAUCCUGCACCAUGGUUUAGUGCUUAUAGUAUUCACCGCAUCGCACGCUCGCCUUGGAUCCAAGUAGAUGCUGGUCGCACAGUCCACGCGGAGUGGGUGCGACGGGCCAGUCGAAGAGUGUUAGUGAGAUUUCGACUGGUGGGUGACCUUAGAUUAUGUGCACAGAUGAUUGAUGAGAAAGCACUAGAGCGUAACUUGUGUGCAGAAGGCCGGACAGGUCACAGAGGUGACUCCGGCAGAGUGAGAGUGAUAGAUUUUGAGCUCUAGGUUCAACCGUGCAGGGCUAUUAGAGGGCCUCCGGUUGAUUACUUUCUUGCACCUGAUAUGAUUAUUGUUGAUGCAUCCAUACUUAACUGUUGAUUUUUAGACAUGGCAUGGCAUAUAACUGAUAUGAAAAAAUGUUGAAAAAAGUGAAUUGAAGUUUUGAGAAUAUAUAUGUAUAUUUAUAUUUUACAUUUCUGGGAAAGUAUACAGGUUUUACGGAGAGGGGUUACAACGUUUUGAGAAAUGUUUGGAUUUGGAAAAGAAUUGUUUUACUGACCCACUCAAUUUUGGUUUUGCGCCCCUCCAGGUUCAGGAAUCACAAAGGUGUGGUGACUACGAGGAAUUCGACGGUGUUCUGACAGAAUGGACAAAAUUAGGACUCACCUUUGGGUGUAUCAACUUAUAAAUUGUAUCUUAAAGCUUCCGUACUGUGCAAAUGGUUACGUCACUCUCACGUGACGGCCAGCAUGCCCUCCUUCGGGACGGGGUGUGUCA